GAAAUCGGUAGACGNUACGGACUU
rnacentral:tRNA from 1 species